CAGUAGCCACGGGAAUACGAAGGGGGCUAGCGUUGCUCGGAAUGACUGGGCGUAAAGGGCGCGUAGGCGGAUGGCACAGUCAGAUGUGAAAUUCCAGGGCUUAACCUUGGGGCUGCGUUCGAGACGGGUAUUCUAGAGUGGAGAAGAGGGUCGUGGAAUUCCCAGUGUAGAGGUGAAAUUCGUAGAUAUUGGGAAGAACACCGGUGGCGAAGGCGGCAACCUGGUCUUUUACUGACGCUGAGGCGCGAAAGCGUGGGGAGCAAACAGGAUUAGAUACCCCUGUAGUCCCUGUCUCUUAUAC
rnacentral:rRNA from 1 species